rnacentral:rRNA from 1 species
AAUACGUUCCCGGGCCUUGUACACACCGCCCGUCACACCAUGGGAGUGGGUUGCACCAGAAGUAGAUAGCUUAACCUUCGGGAGGGCGUUUACCACGGUGUGAUUCAUGACUGGGGUGAAGUCGUAACAAGGUAACCCUAGGGGAACCUGGGGUUGGAUCACCUCCUUACCUUAA